rnacentral:rRNA from 1 species
GAACGCACCGCAAGGUGAGUGGCAGACGGGUGAGUAACGCGUGGGAACCUUCCCUUUGGUACGGAAUAACUUCGGGAAACCGAAGCUAAUACCGUAUAAGUCCUUCGGGAGAAAGAUUUAUCGCCAAAGGAUGGGCCCGCGUUGGAUUAGCUAGUUGGUAGGGUAAAGGCCUACCAAGGCGACGAUCCAUAGCUGGUCUGAGAGGAUGAUCAGCCACACUGGGACUGAGACACGGCCCAGACUCCUACGGGAGGCAGCAGUGGGGAAUAUUGGACAAUGGGGGCAACCCUGAUCCAGCCAUGCCGCGUGAGUGAAGAAGGCCUUAGGGUUGUAAAGCUACUUUUGGCGGGGACGAUAAUGACGGUACCCGCAGAAUAAGCCCCGGCUAACUUAGUG